GGUAGGGACGAAACCUGGGGAGCGAACCGGAUUAGAUACCCGGGUAGUCCAGGGUGUAAACGUUGUGCGCUAGGUGUGGGGAGUUUUAAUCUCCCUGUGCCGUAGGGCAACCAUUAAGCGCACCGCCUGGGGAGUACGGCCGCAAGGCUGAAACCCAAACCAAUUGACGGGGGCCCGCACAAGCGGUGGAGCAUGCGGCUUAAUUCGAUGCCACCCGAAGAACCUUACCAGGGCUUGACAUGCUGGCUUAAGCCCGCCCGAAAGGGUAGGGUGUGACGGUUUACCCCGUCCAGCCAGCACAGGUGGUGCAUGGCUGUCGUCAGCUCGUGCCGUGAGGUGUCCGGUUAAGUCCGGUAACGAGCGCAACCCCCGCCGCCAGUUGCCAGCGGGUAAUGCCGGGCACUCUGGCGGGACUGCCCGCGUAAGCGGGAGGAAGGUGGGGAUGACGUCAAGUCCUCAUGCCCCUGAAGCCCUGGGCUGCACGCAUGCUACAAUGCCCGCUACAAAGGGUUGCGAACCCGCGAGGGGGAGCUAAUCCCAAAAAAGCGGGCUAAGUUCGGAUCGCAGGCUGCAACUCGCCUGCGUGAAGCCGGAAUCGCUAGUAACCGCCGGUCAGCUAUACGGCGGUGAU
rnacentral:rRNA from 1 species